UAGACAAGUCUAGAAAGUCUUCAUGGAGAAGUCCUGGGUCCUGAAGAAAGAGUAAGAGAUUAUCAGGAAAAGAAAAGAGGAAAGCAGGAUGUCUUCUGUGGUUACUUUUUAAAUCUAAAUAUUUUAAACGAUUGAAUAAUCUGUGGGAGCAUGCUGGGAGUCAGCCAGAAAACAGUCUGAAUGGACGCAAUUUGAGAAACAGUCGACCUUGGUUAACUGCUUUAUUGGGAUAGAGCCACAGACUGUAAAAUUCACUCUUUGAAAGCACACAGCAUUAUUCACAACAGCCAAAGGAUGCAAACAACCCAAAUCCAACUCAAGUGGUGAAUGGGUGAGGUCAAUCAUAAGACCACCUCCUGGAGACAGUGAUUGGUGGAGGGAAGAGUACAUGACCAAGGCAAAUUAAGUCCAGACCAGUCAGGUUCUUCCUGGUGUUUUUUCCUAACUGAAGCAUCUUUCUGGUGAAGAAGCUAUCAGAAGAGAGUUCUGUUUCCCCUUAGGAUGUGGAAAGUCUCAAGAAACUAUUACUCCCACUCGAAAAAUACAAAAAAGCCAGAUAAUCUACAAAAUCUUAAAUUUUCUUGAGCUCAUCACAGAGCCAAGGUCAAAAGGCAACCAAGUAAACUGAACUCCAAAGAGUGACAACCUACUCCAAAGAGAGAUGGAACAUGCAAACUCUCACCUGUGGCAAAUCAUGGGAGAAAAAGGUUACCAAAAUAAAAACAGGUAAGAAGAAAUUGGCUAAAACGUCAACAAAUUCUUAAAAGUCAAGUGUGAUCUAGUGUCAUUUUGAAAUAGCUAGAAGCCCCAGACACAAAAAACGUUUGCACUCACUGGCAAACUCUAUUCCACGGCCACUGAGUGCUCACAAGAAAGACUGGGGGCAGGGCAGGAAACUUGCGAGAGCCUCUCCUGGGUGGCACAGCCAUGAAGAAGGUGAUCAGCUACUAAUGGGGGACAGGCACAAAAUCCCACCCAAUUUCCUGGAUCCUUCUCUCAAAGGAAACAAAAGCGUUAAGCUCCUGGGAAGGGGUAGCAAAUCUUUUCAUUCUCAGAGCCAGGCAAACUUCCAUGGCUUGUGGGAGAGGAGUAGAAACAAAACCAGGUUGCUUCUGGAGUAAGGGGAAGGAAAUCCUCUCACCUCUAGGACAAAGGCAAAGAACCAUUGCCUCUGGGAGAAGGAUAGAAGCUAAAACCUCAUAUUGAAGAAGGAGUGGGAAUCUUCCUUUGGGCCCAAGACUCUGCACCAAAAAUAAGCAGAGAUCUGCUAUCCUGAAGGAGGAGCAGGAAACUCUCUUCUACCCAACACAGAGCACAGUUACAAGUCAGAGUUUAACUGACAUGGGAAGUCAAAGCAGAAAUAUGAAGAAGGGGUGGGAAUACUGAGAAAACCCAACCUCAAACACAGGAGCACAGGGCCUGCCUAAGACCAAGGCUGGACCAAAACAACAGAGAACCCCUCUGUUCCUAUAAGUCUAGAAUCAAGCAACAAACAACUUCAGUCUACUACUUAGGGGAACAAGAACAUGGAGAGGGACCCUGUCUGUGGCACAGGUACACAGGAAGUGCUGAAAGCUGAGAGUGGAGCAAGAAAACUGAGAUAAAUUUUCUAGGAUCCCAAGCCCUGCUAUAAGCAUAAGCAACCAAAUCCUGGAGGAAUAGGAAGACUAUGAUGCCCUGAAAGUAAUGGGAACAACAACAAAACCCAAACCCAGCUCAAUUCAUGACUAGGUUGACUCUAUCCCUCACAAUAUUAGUCCAACAGAAGAAGAGGUAUAUUCAUUUCUGGGCAUAAAUAUUAUUAUCUCAAUCUCUUACGUUUUUCUAUGCACACUAUCUAGUAUUCAAUAAAAAAAAAAGGUAAGUUAUACAAAAAUCAAGAAAUAAACAACCUAUUGCUCAGAGAUAAAGCACUCAACACAAACAGACACAGAGAUGACCCAAAUGUUGAAACUAUCAUAUAGGGACUUUAAAACAACUAUGAUUAAUACUUUAAGAGAUCUAGUGAAAAAGGUAGACAACAUGUAUGAACAGAUGGUAACUUUCAUUAGAGAGAGAGAAACUAUAAAUAACCAGUCAAAUGGAUAUGCUAAGGAAAAAACAUGAAAGAAAUGAAGAAUUCCUUCAAUGCUCUCAGCAGCAGACUGGACACAGGUAAGCAAAAAAUCAGUGAAUUAAAGAGAGGUCAGCAGAAAUUGUCCAAACUAAACAUUAAGAGAAAAAAGUGAAAAAUACUGAAAAGAGUUUCCAAGAGCUGUGGUACAAAACAGUCUAAUAUAUAUGUAAUUGGAGUACCAGAAAGAGAAUAGAGAACAAGGCAGAAGAAAUACUUGAAGAGCUAACAGUCAAGAAUUUUCCAAAAUUAAUGAAAGACAACAAGAUACAGAUCUAAGAAGCCCAGAAAAAUCACGAGCAAGAUUAAAAGAAAAAACAAAACACAAAAAUCCCUCCUAGACAUCUCAUAGUCAAACUUCUGAGAAUAAAAGGGUAAAGAGGAAAUCUUGAAGGCAGCCAGAGGAAAAAAAUUACCUAUACACAGUCACAGAGGGGCUAGCCUGGUGGUGCAGCAGUUAAGUGCACAUG